AGAGUUUGAUCAUGGCUCAGAUUGAACGCUGGCGGCAGGCUUAACACAUGCAAGUCGAGCGGGGGAAGGUAGCUUGCUACUGGACCUAGCGGCGGACGGGUGAGUAAUGCUUAGGAAUCUGCCUAUUAGUGGGGGACAACAUCUCGAAAGGGAUGCUAAUACCGCAUACGUCCUACGGGAGAAAGCAGGGGAUCUUCGGACCUUGCGCUAAUAGAUGAGCCUAAGUCGGAUUAGCUAGUUGGUGGGGUAAAGGCCUACCAAGGCGACGAUCUGUAGCGGGUCUGAGAGGAUGAUCCGCCACACUGGGACUGAGACACGGCCCAGACUCCUACGGGAGGCAGCAGUGGGGAAUAUUGGACAAUGGGGGGAACCCUGAUCCAGCCAUGCCGCGUGUGUGAAGAAGGCCUUAUGGUUGUAAAGCACUUUAAGCGAGGAGGAGGCUACUUUAGUUAAUACCUAGAGAUAGUGGACGUUACUCGCAGAAUAAGCACCGGCUAACUCUGUGCCAGCAGCCGCGGUAAUACAGAGGGUGCGAGCGUUAAUCGGAUUUACUGGGCGUAAAGCGUGCGUAGGCGGCUUAUUAAGUCGGAUGUGAAAUCCCCGAGCUUAACUUGGGAAUUGCAUUCGAUACUGGUGAGCUAGAGUAUGGGAGAGGAUGGUAGAAUUCCAGGUGUAGCGGUGAAAUGCGUAGAGAUCUGGAGGAAUACCGAUGGCGAAGGCAGCCAUCUGGCCUAAUACUGACGCUGAGGUACGAAAGCAUGGGGAGCAAACAGGAUUAGAUACCCUGGUAGUCCAUGCCGUAAACGAUGUCUACUAGCCGUUGGGGCCUUUGAGGCUUU
rnacentral:rRNA from 1 species